AGACCUCAGGUAAGAUCACCUCUUUUGUGAGAACUUUGCAAACAAGGUGGCAGUGAGAGCGAGAACAAGAGGAAGAGAUAGAUGAAGAGCGAGAGGAGUAGAACCAGGACAAUAACAAAGAAGGGGACCAAGCAAUAGACAGAGACAUAUUUCUGAAGACAUUAGAGCCAGUUUGGUGGACCAUGUCAUAAAUCAUUGCCUGACGAUAAGGGAGGUUGGGCAGAGAGUCCAGCCCAACCUAAGUCGCUACACGGUAGCAUCCAUAAUAUGGACAUUUAGACUGGAAAACAGAACUGCCAGACGACCUCCUGAGGGUGGAAGGCAACGUCUGUUCACCAUGAACAGGAACUGGCCAUUGUCAAUCUAGUGUUGGCAAACAACACCAUCCGCCUACAUCAACUAAUGAGAGCAAAUUAUCGCAGAUUCCACAACAUUCAAUAAUAUCAACCGUGUCAGUAUGUCGACACUCUGCCGCAUCUUACGAUGGAGCAGCUGUCCAGGGUUCCAUUUGAGAGGAACAGUGUUAGAGUCAAAGACCCUCACUAUGACUAUGUGCAAAGAGUCCUGGACGUUGAUGCAGCUGCACAGCCUCAUUAGUUUAUUUCAUUGAUGAAGCUGAAUUCAAUCUAUUUAAAACCAGGCAUUGGGGCCGAAACGUUAUAGAACAAACAGCUGUUAUGAAUGUCCCUGGGCAGCGCAGGGGAAAUAUCCCCUUGUGUGCCGCCAUUAGUCUGCAAGGAGUUCUCCAUCACCAUGUCACCCUCGGUCCCUACAAUACUGCACACAUAAUCAUAUUUCUGGAUGCACUACAUAAUGUAGUUGUACAGGACAGACCAGAGCAGCCCAGGUUUGUUGUCAUCUGGGAUAAUGUUAAUUUCCAUCGGGUUGCUCUGGUCAGGGACUGGUUCACUAACCACAAUAACUUCACAGUUGUACAGGACGGACCAGAGCAGCCCAGGUUCGUUGUCAUCUGGGAUAAUGUUAAUUUCCACCGGGCUGCUCUGGUCAGGGACUGGUUCACUAACCACAAUAACUUCACAGUUGUAUACUUGCCUCCUUACUCCCCAUUUCUCAAUCCGAUUGAGGAAUUAUUUUCGGCUUGGCGUUAGAAAGUGUAUGACCGCCAACCACAUGCCCGCCUGCAAGCAAUGGAAUAGGCAUGUGGAGACAUUGAGGUGGGGUCAGUCCAGUGUUGGAUAUGGCACGCAAGGCGAUAUUUUCCCCGUUGCCUAGCCAGGGGGGAUAUUGCGUGUGAUGUGGAUGAGGUGAUGUGGCCAGACCCUAACAGAAGGUGGGAUCCAUAAAACAUCCACCCCAUCCAUUACAAUACUAUUUUUUUUUGUUUACCAUUGCACUGUAAUUUUACUGUAUUUUUUUUUUCCUGUGAGUUUACAGUAACAUAUUGUAUUGAUUACUGUACUGUAAUUCUACUUUGUGUUUAUUUGUUGUUGUAAAAACCUGCAAUGGCAAAAAAUAAGCUGUCUACAUUUUUUUCUGAAGCCUUUCUAUUUUGUGUUCAUUGAAAUGUGAGUAGAUGUGCUGCACUGGAACAAUCUUUCACAGAAGCCUGUAUGAGAA